GUUUGCCUCUACACUCUCUUGAUUCAGAUUCAGAUACUGGCCUCUCCUUCAGAAUGCUAUAGAGAGCUUCUGGCUGUACAUAGCUUGAAGACCUUAGGAAAGAACUUUUGCUUUAGCUCAAAUGACUCAAUCAUACUUGAGACAGUGAAUUUUCUUUAAAGGUAAGGCUCAUUGUAGGUGGACUAUGCUCCAGUGGAUGGCCCUACUCCAGAAACACAUGCAUAGCACAAACUGGAGUGGAAAAACUAUUGCAUUUUUUAAAAAGUAAAGUUGCAGAGGUAGGAAUUGAAAACAAAUGGAUCUGAAAGGAGCUGAGGGGUGAAUGUGAUCAAAAUAUGCUUUUUGAAACACUCAAAUAAUAACAAUAAUAAAUAUUUAUUUUAAAGAAAGAAUACUUAAGGGUUAGGGAAAAAUUAAACAUUAUAUAUUUGAGACUAACAGAGGGAAAUGGUAGGUUCUCUAAGCUUGGGAACCAGAUAAGUACAUUAUGGAAUCCCUGUGAGCUGAGAAGCCAGCCCAAUUUGAUCUACUCUACCCAAACUGUUUCCUUGUAGCAGGCAGUGUACCUUGUAAAAACUUUUAAGAAGGGCCAUAGGAAGAACAUGUGAGGCAUAAGGGAACUUCAUAAGUAAUUAACAGUAUAUUUAUUUGCUGGCAUCAGGGAGAAAGGCAAUGUUUAUUUAGAGCAUCUUUGAAGGCUGAAUAACUGAGAAGUAAAAACGAAAGGAACUUAUCCUUCCACAUAAGCAUUGACGGCAGAAUGAAGUAAUGAUGCUACCAGGAAUGGUGUAUCAUGUCAUUGAGAGCUUCAGUCAAAAUAAUUGGAUGCUGAACCUAUGCAAUAACAAAGCCUUAAGCAGAGAACCAUCCAGAGAGAACUGGAGACUGUGAACGCAGAAGCACUUCCAGCUGUUGACGUCAGGCAAAACUGAAGAGCAGGUCUCACAUGUGCACAUACACAAAGAGCCCUGCUUUGGAGAGCCGCCAUCGCUAAUGGAAAGACAUUAUGUGGCUGAAGAUCCACAUUUUCCACACAGGAGAGCAGAAUGCUGGCAAGUUAAAUGGCCAAUGGACAAGCAGUUUCCAGCCCAGCAAAAGCUCAGCUUUAAUAUGAGCAGGCAGGCUCCAGGAGGAGUAAAGGCCCAGGAUAUCAGGCCUAAAUCCAUCUUGUGCCAGGAAAUCAAAAGAACCACAGCUUCACACCAUGAAAAUUUACCCUUGGCCCUAAAAACAGUUUUGAGAUGGAGUAGUUUUGCUUCCUUGUUUCUUUCAUCUUUUUCUCAGUUAGUGACUGUUUCACCAUUAAAAGCACUCUUGAAAUUUAUUUUGCUACCCAAUUUAAUCCAUCUUUCUGAAUGGCCAUUAAAAUU
rnacentral:lncRNA from 1 species